AGUACUUCAAAGUAAAGGUGAGCUUAUGCUCAUUACAACAUUUGCAUAUAACAAAUUACUUUAAAGUAAAGAAGAGCUUAAGCCCUUUUACAACAUUUGAUCAAAUCAAAUUACAACCAAAAUCUAAUCUACACAUUCCCAUGGUUCAAACAAAUUUGAAACGCCUUUCACAUAGCUCAAUUAUAUUAGGCUUAGGUUCAUAAUCACCCUUUAAUUAAUUAACACUUUAACUAAUUAAAUUGAAUGCAACAUUUUCAUUUGGUUUUUGUAUCCAUAAAAUUGAUUUAAAUGGAGCUAAACAAAAUGAAAAUCCAAUUCUCAUUUAAAGAGACAAAAACAAUUUUGUUCUCAUCCUAUUUGGGCCAUCAUGCAAUUAACCUCAACUUUUUGGGCCAUAUUGCAAAAACAAAAACUUUUGGGGUCACUUUGUACAAUACACAAAAGUCACUACUUCAUGUAAAUACAACUAGAACCCAAAACUUUUAAUAAUGCAAAAACUUCAUUAAAGGAGCAAAACAAUUUGUCCUUUAGCGUUUUUGGACCUAAACGUAAAAACGUAAACUUUUGGGCCAAAGUGCAAAUACACAAAAAGUAUCAAAACUUUAUGUAAUUGCAUAAAAGCCCCAAAAGUACUCCCUUUGAGGGAGUGGCCGGUUUUGGGGAGAGGAUAAGAGUGAUGUGUGUGUUGAUUUGUGAGUUUUGUCAAAAACAAUCAAGUGGUGUAAGAUAAGAAUUUUAUCAUUAUUUCUAUCAACCUUUCAUAAAAAUAAUAUAAGUUUUGAUGAUAGAUUUUUCUAUUGCCAUUUAAUCAAAUAUUUAACACUUUAAAUACAUGAUAAAUCAUUUGAAAAACAUAUCACAUAAACUUUAUGAAAUAAAUCAAAACUUUGAAUCAAAACACCAAACCUUUUUGUUCUUGGCAAGAACAUCAAGAACAAUGAAGAACAUCCAUGAAAAACCCAAAUUUUUCCAUGAACUUUUUUCACCCAAAAACAUUCCAAAACCAUUCUUACUUAAGGGAAAUAACAUCUAACCAAACUAGGGUACUUAGGGGUUCCAAAGAACACAUUAAAACACUUUUAACAAGUCAAACAAGAACCCAAAAAAUCCACCCUUUGGAUUUGGCCGAAUUUUCCCAAAAGCAUGGCACCAAAUUUUAGCUCCAAUAUUCAUGCUCAUAUGAACAACAUCUACAACAUUUGAGAUGGCAAAUUUUCCAACAAAAUUUACUUUCAAAGAAGCAAGAAUAAAGCUUGUAACAAUUACAACUUUUAAAUCACAAACUUAUGAACUACAAAACCCAAAAGGAUUCACCAACUACUAGACCUAGGCUCUGAUACCACUUGAAGGAAAAUUUUUGGGAAAACAUGUUCAUUUGAGCAACAUCAUAUAGCAUGCAAUUAACAAUUAAAGGCGGAAUCAUGCUUGUAUGCACUCAAAAACAAAACAUUACCAUGAAAUUCAAAGCCUAGUAGAUUGGUGAACCAAUAAUCAACUCAAAACAAAGUGAGUUGAAAUUAAUACCUUUGUAGAUUCCUCUUUGCAUAAGCAAAGGCUAAUCACCCAAAGAGAUAGGGCCUUCAUUCCUUGCUUCUUAGAUCCAUGGAUUUGGAUGGAAGAAUAGGUUCUCCAAGUUCCCAAAAUUGAGAACCUCUAAGUCUCUUCACCAAGGUUAGAUUGUAGAAGAAAUGAGUGACCUUGGAGUAGUAGGAUUGCUAGAUGUACCCUCCAAGGUGUUGGCCUCUUUAGAGAGAAAAUGGAGAGACAAUUCUCACCAAUUUUCCCCAAAAAUAAACCCUUUUUAAUCCUUAAUGAAUAUUUGGCUAUAAAGUCAUUUAUAUAGUCACUUCUUUAAGUGACCUAAACAACCAAAACCCUAAUUCAUUCCAUAUGGCCGGCCAUUUAGGGAUUUUUGGGCUUUUGGGCUUUAAUGAAUCUUUAUUCAUUAAAUUGUCAUACAACUUAAGUUAAUGGGCUUGACGUUCGAAGCCCAUUGGGCCUUAAGGUCCAAAACUAUCCCGAAGUCUUUAACGAACUUAUUCGUUUGAUUAAUUAACAUAUUAAUUAAUCCUUGCCAUAAAUAAAUGAUUAAACCAUUUAAUCAUUCUUACUCAUUUCCGUUUAAUCUCCAAUCUCUACCUUUUAUGGUGUGCGAUCCAUUAGGUUCCUUUUAGCGAGGUAGUGGGCGAUUAAAACCAUUUUACAUCGAUUGUGAAUUGAAACUAUUUUCAAUUCUCCCUUUAGUGAUUACACACGUUUAGGGCUUCCACAAACCAUGAGUGACACCUAGCAGCAUAUCAUGGUUACCCAAGCUAAUCAGAAGAGGUGGAGAACCUAUUCAGUUCGAGAUUACAAAUGCAAUACGGUCUUUCUCUAAUCUAAUACUCUUGACCACAUUGUUUGGUUUGAUAGUUUAUUUUCUCAUGUCUACUAUCCAAUGUGUGUCUUGUGCUUAUAUGAUUACCUUGAAUGUGAUUCGGAACGCAUUCCCUAAUCUCAUUCAUACUCUGGCCAGAGAUCAUAUCAAAUCCCUCAAACCUUGUUGAAGGUUAGAGAUCCCUUGUUGCGCAUUCACUUGUCUCCAUAGCUAAGUGGCUUGACCCAACAACGAUGCCGUGGACACCCUCCUGAUGGAGUGACUUUGACAUAAUCAUCAAAGAUCAAGGACUUAACCACAAACAACUAUGAUGCCUCAGGUCAAAGGACUACUUUGCAUUAUCCCAACCAUGAGUUUCUCAUGUGACAUGGAAUAUGAGAACCCUUCGUUGAUCGCGUUCAGUGAACUCAUUCUCUAUUGAGCACCUACCGUACUUGUCUUGAUGUCACACACACCAAUGACUCGAGACUUAUCACUCUCCCUGAGAGAAGACAUAGUACGUACUGAUCUUAACGGACUGUCAAUGCCCAAUUGGCAAUCCUAUGAUCAGGAACGUUUAGGAUGUGUCUACGAAAGAAUGGUCUCAUGAAUCUAACUUCAUUAGAUUACAUUCUCCCAAUCACAUAUUCCUUGGACUUUAUUGUUUAAGCAUAUAACAUUUAUAUGAGACGGCUCAAACAAUAAUCUUUGCCCUUUAUAUGUAAAACUAGAUUAGUUUAACAUGUGAAAUGUCCGUAAAGUAUCAUCACAUGAUUGGCUUUAGGGCACAUUUCCAACAGGAUGACUAUGAACCUUUGUUUAGAUUCAACACAGUGUUGAAUCUCGGUCUAGGGAUGGUUAUUGAUUUUAGUUACGCGUUUAAUCACAUUAAGGCGUGUUGUCUUAGGGGCGUUGGACCCAACUACUUCAUUUUCAUGCAUAUCAAAUGAAGCAAGAAAGAAGUACUUCAAAGUAAAGGUGAGCUUAUGCUCAUUACAACAUUUGAACAAUUCAAAUUACUUUAAAGUAAAGAAGAGCUUAAGCUCUUUUACAACAUUUGAUCAAAUCAAAUUACAACCAAAAUCUAAUCUACACAUUCCCAUGGUUCAAACAAAUUUGAAACGGUCUUUCACAUAGCUCAAUUAUCGUAGGCUUAGGUUCAUAAUCACCCUUUAAUUAAUUAACACUUUAACUAAUU
rnacentral:lncRNA from 1 species